rnacentral:tRNA from 1 species
UUCCCUGUGGUCCAGUGGUUAAGACUCUGUGCUUCCACCACAAGGGGCACAGGUUUGAUCCCUGGUGGGGGAA